GAACUGUUUCUGCGUAACCUGGAAACAACAUGAUAGAUAAGUACCUACUUACCUAUUUAGAGAUGUAUCCAAGAAUAUUCUCGAAAAUAUAACUUACUUGAUAUAUAUACGAUCAAAUAAGUUGAAAUAAGUAGCGACAUCUACCGCAUCAGGGCUCAAGCUUCUCAUUGUUGGCAGUACUUCUUCAAGCAUUUUUUUUUCUUAAAUGAGAUUACUGUAACAAAGAAAGAAACGUGACAUUAAGUAACUUA